CCUACGGGGGGCAGCAGUGGGGAAUUUUGCACAAUGGGCGAAAGCCUGAUGCAGCAACGCCGCGUGUGUGAUGAAGGUCUUCGGAUCGUAAAGCACUUUCGACCGGGACGAACAACCUCUGGCUAACAGUCAGGGGCCUGACGGUACCGGGAGAAGAAGCACCGGCUAACUCUGUGCCAGCAGCCGCGGUAAUACAGAGGGGGCAAGCGUUGUUGGGAAUUAUUUGGCGUAGGCUUGGUGUAGGCGGUGUGAAAGCCCUCAGCUCAACUGAGGAAGGGCGCCCGAAACUGGCGAGCUUGAGUGUCGGAGAGGAUGGCGGAAUACCCCAAGUAGAGGUGAAAUUCGUAGAUAUGGGGUGGAACACCGGUGGCGAAGGCGGCCAUCUGGACGACAACUGACGCUGAGACGCGAAAGCGUGGGGAGCAAACAGGAUUAGAUACCCUUGUAGUC
rnacentral:rRNA from 1 species